rnacentral:snoRNA from 1 species
UUGCUAUGAUGACCAUCUUAAGAUGCCUUUGGAAUGCCUGUGAAAAAAAAAAUAUAUGUAUUUCUGAGCAAC